GGAGGAAAGCAGGGGAUCGCAAGACCUUGCGCUUUUGGAGCGGCCGAUGUCUGAUUAGCUAGUUGGUGAGGUAAAGGCUUACCAAGGCGUCGAUCAGUAGCUGGUCUGAGAGGGCGACCAGCCACACUGGGACUGAGACACGGCCCAGACUCCUACGGGAGGCAGCAGUGGGGAAUUUUGGACAAUGGGGGAAACCCUGAUCCAGCCAUGCCGCGUGAGUGAAGAAGGCCUUCGGGUUGUAAAGCUCUUUCAGCCGGAACGAAACGGUCACAGCUAAUACCUGUGACUACUGACGGUACCGGAAGAAGAAGCACCGGCUAACUACGUGCCAGCAGCCGCGGUAAUACGUAGGGUGCGAGCGUUAAUCGGAAUUACUGGGCGUAAAGCGUGCGCAGGCGGUUUUGUAAGUCAGAUGUGAAAUCCCCGGGCUUAACCUGGGAACUGCGUUUGAAACUACAAAGCUAG
rnacentral:rRNA from 1 species